rnacentral:rRNA from 1 species
AUUGAACGCUAGCGGGAUGCUUUACACAUGCAAGUCGAACGAGUGGCGGACGGGUGAGUAAUAUAUCGGAACGUGCCCAGUAGCGGGGGAUAACUACUCGAAAGAGUGGCUAAUACCGCAUACUAUUGGCGCGGCCGCUAUCGGAUUAGCUAGGUGGUGGGGUAAAGGCUCACCAAGGCAACGAUCCGGCGCUGGUUUGAGAGGACGACCGGCCGCCCUGGGACUGAGACACGGCCCAGACGCCUACGGUAGGUAGCAGUGGGGAAUUGUGGACAAUGGGGGAAACCCUGAUCCAGCCAUCCCGCGUGUAUGAGAAGGCCUUCGGGUGGUAAAGUACUUUUGGCAGAGAAGCGGUAUCUGCAGAAUAAGCACCGGCUAACUACGUGCCAGUAGCCGCGGUAAUUC